rnacentral:rRNA from 1 species
UACGGAGGGUGCUAGCGUUGUUCGGAAUUAUUGGGCGUAAAGAGCUCGUAGGCGGUCUGUUGCGUCUGCUGUGAAAACCCGGGGCUUAACCCCUGGCUUGCAGUGGAUACGGACAGACUAGAGGUAGGUAGGGGAGAAUGGAAUUCCCGGUGUAGCGGUGAAAUGCGCAGAUAUCGGGAGGAACACCGGUGGCGAAGGCGGUUCUCUGGGCCUUACCUGACGCUGAGGAGCGAAAGCGUGGGGAGCGAACAGG